GACGAACGCUGGCGGCGUGCCUAAUACAUGCAAGUCGAACGCUUUUUCUUUCACCGGAGCUUGCUCCAUCGAAAGAAAAAGAGUGGCGAACGGGUGAGUAACACGUGGGUAACCUGCCCAUCAGAAGGGGAUAACACUUGGAAACAGGUGCUAAUACCGUAUAACACUAUUUUCCGCAUGGAAGAAAGUUGAAAGGCGCUUUUGCGUCACUGAUGUAUGGACCCGGGGUGACUUAGCUAGUUGGGUAGGUAACGGCUCACCAAGGCAACGAUGCAUAGCCGACCUGAGAGGGUGAUCGGCCACACUGGGACUGAGACACGGCCCAGACUCCUACGGGAGGCAGCAGUAGGGAAUCUUCGGCAAUGGACGAAAGUCUGACCGAGCAACGCCGCGUGAGUGAAGAAGGUUUUCGGAUCGUAAAACUCUGUUGUUAGAGAAGAACAAGGAUGAGAGUAAAAUGUUCAUCCCUUGACGGUAUCUAACCAGAAAGCCACGGCUAACUACGUGCCAGCCGCCGCGGUAA
rnacentral:rRNA from 1 species